UGUGUGGUCAUUGCUGGUCCCCCUUAACAUCCUCUGAAAAUUUCAAGUGUCUACGACCACGGGAACUGGUAGAGGUACGAAAGUGCAAUAUCGCCGGUAGACUUUUCGGCUCUAUUUCAGUAUCGCACCUCUACCAGUUCCCGGGGUCGUAGAGACUUGAAAUUUUCAGGGGAUGUUCAGGUGGGCUAGCAAUGACCUCAGUUUAGCUUCUAUAAGAGAUAAGUUUAUCCGAUUUUGACGCCAUUUUGUUUGUUGACUAUUUAGGCUCGAAUGACGUCAUAUGUGGAUUGUGGGUUAGGAUAAGGGUUAGGGUAAGGGCUAGGACCUGUAGAUUUCGUCAUAGUCUCAAGAUGUAGACAGGACUAGCCCUAACCCUAACCCUGUCUUGUUAUUCGAGUCUAAAUAGCCAACAAACAAAAUGGCGUCAAAAUCGGAUAAACUUUCUCUCGUAUAAGCUAAACUACAGUAAAAUAAAAAGUUAUUGACAGAUUCGGCUGAAAUUUGGUGUGAGGUCAUGGCUAAACCCCAUGAAUACCCCUAUGAUCAUGGGAACUGGUAGAGGUGCGAUACUGAAAUAGAGCCGACUUUUCACCUGCAAAUGAUACAUUGUAUACUAAAAUAUAGAAUGGAUUCUUUGUAAUUUGGAAGAUAGAAUGGCUUAUAGUGAUAGCAGGUAGUCCCGUAUUUAUAAAAGGAAUGGCUGGUAAUUUUUGUCAAUUGAAAAAAUGUCAUUCAAAAUGGUUGAGAAGUGUGUCAACUCUAAAGUCUAGUAGGGCAGUGAAGGGGUGCGGGUCAGUUCAUCCCAUAACCGGUUCACCGGGGGCUGUUUCAUCCCAACCUAAUUUUCUAUCGGGCUGUUUCACCCCGGGCUGUUUCACCCCGGGCUGUAGUAGUAGUAGUUCUUGGUGUUUAACGUCUGCUUCCACAUAAGUGAUAUCGCAGACAAACCCCGGGCUGUUUCAUCCCCCUUGUUAUUAAAAUAGCAGUUAAUUAACUGAGUUGUACUUAUUGUCGAAUAAACUGUUAAACACUUACUUGUUGUCAAAUAAACAUGUACUUUAUUGUUUAUUAUUAAAUAAACACGCAAUUAAUUGUUAUGGAUUAGUAAUAAAAACAUGACGCGAGAGUUUGAGUUGUAUUUACACAUUUAUGUAAGAAGCCAGAUAAAUAAACAAUUAAAAUUAAUUACUUUGAUCUAAAGCGUUAUCUAACUAUAAAUAUGAUCCGAAAGUGAAUGUGGAAAAUUGUCUACGAUAUCACCUUAGGUGGAAGUGGACGUAAAACCCCAGAAACGAACGAACGAACGAAUGUGGAACUUGUGUACGAUAUCACCUUAGGUGGAAGUGGACGUAAAACACCAGAAACUAACGAACGAAUGUGGAAGUGGACGUAAAACUCCAGAAACGAACGAACGAACGAAAGAUUAUCAUUCAUCUUUUGGAUUUACACCAUGGCUGAUCUUUGUAUUCGUUGCUCUACCGUAGUUAGACCCCGUCAACAUGCUGUGACAUUUGCGAUCGUUGGCAGCAUCGAACAUGCAAUACAGGCAUUUCAAACAAGGAUUAUCUUGCUGCUAGGAAAUGUAAGAUUGAACUACAUUUCGCGUGUGCAGAUUGUGUUACGAGAGAAGUAGCUGGUAUACCACCGACCACAAAUGCCGACGAAGAAGAGGAACACCACUUUGCCGAACCCUGGAACUCAACGUCAACUGCUUCAAUGGUUCCAUAUUUUACUCUUGAUGUUUCCAACGUCCUAUCAACAACUACCAAUACCGACGAAGCAUUGACAACAAAUGGUGAAACCAAUGGCGAGGAAUCGACAACAAACGAGCUUGAGGUGUCAUUCGACAUCACGGACCGCGGAAGCAUCAACCAAACCAGAGAGGUCGCUGACAUAUCUUUACCGGAAGACCAACUCGACACGUCAGUAAUAGCUGAUCACGAAGUGACAUAUGAAAUAGCUGAAGAUUGGAGAAAGAGGAAAAGCGAAAUUGGUGACCUCCGAUGGAUUUUCCUUCACAGUAAAGAGAUCAAAUAUCAUUUGAGAAAAUAUCAUUUAAUUAACUGAUUACUGCUCAACUAGCUACUGAUCAUAAAACAACAAUUGUCACUCUAAUGUUUGCCACACAGACACAGAUAGAGCUUUUGAAAACGUGUAAAAGAUGGUUCAUGGAUGGGACAUUUAAAGUAGUUAAAGAGCCGUUUUCCCAGUUGUGGUCCAUACAUGUUUUUUUGAAAAAAGGGGACAGUAUGAAGCAGGUGCCGCUAUGUUUCGUCCGGAUGAAAGGAAGGACGUCCGAAGACUAUGAAGAGGUACUAUUACAUAUAAAGGAAAGAUAUCAACCUGCAGUAGAAUAUGGCAUGUUGGACUUUGAACCAGGUUGCUGGUCAGCUAUCAGAAAAGUGUUUAAAGGGCUGUGUUUUUCAUUGGAUACAAUGCGUUUGGAGGAAGAUUCAUGGUGUUGGGUUGACGGGUACUUACUACGAAAGGAAGACCAUCUACAUCUAUAAUUACGUCCGUAGUUUGAUGGCGCUACCUUUUCUACCCGCCGACCACAUGCGAGCUGCCUUCGACAAGUUGUGUCUGAUGGCAAACAUGGACCCUUUACGGGAACUCGUUUCGUAUAUCCGACAAACCUGGUUCGAGUCCUGUCUAUUCUUUAAAUAACAUCAGCAUCUUCAUGAUGGCUUUCCGAACAAAUAAUGAUUGUGAAGGAUGGCACAGGCGUCUUAAGUCAAGGUGUGUGGGAGCGGGUCUCAGUUUUAUGUACAAAUGAUAAUAGAUAAUUUAAUGAAAUAGUUAAACAAAUACAUUUCUUUAUAAAAAUAAUUUAAUUUAACAAAUACAUUUCUUUAUAAAAAUAAUUUAACAAAUACAUUUCUUUAUAAAAUAAUUUAACAAAUACAUUUAUUUAUAAAAGCCGUAAAUAGAUAAUUUAAUGAAAUCAAGUAAUUGAUUUAUGUAUUAUGAUUUAUGUAUGAAAUGAUUUAUGUAUGAAAUGAUACAAAUGAUAUUACUAAAAGUGCCAUGACAUGUUGUAAUUGUUAUAAAUGUAUGAAUAAAAUAUUAAAAAUACGUAAAACCUGUUUAUUGAUUUGUGGGAUGAAACAGCCCGGGGUGAACCGGUCAUGGGAUGAAACGACCUGCUCCCGCAGUGAAGAACAGGCAAUGGCAUGUAGCAAGUGUGAUCAGUGGACACGCAGGACUUGUGAUACAAGUAUGUCUUCAUUCUUUAUGAAAUUUUGUGACCAAACUAAAAACUACCAAAUAAUAAAGACUAUUAAGUAAUUAUGUAUUGCAAUGUGUAUAUUUGUUUUAAACUCAAUGAAAUUUAUAAACCAAAUGACAAUAUCCUUGGAAUGAUUUUUGUUGAUAUUUUCACAAGUUUUGAAUGUUUUGUUUUCUUCAGAAUUUUCUAGAAAAAGCUAUGUAGAGGCAGUAAGAGUGGGAAAAUCUAUCGAUAUUUUAUGAUUUUUAUGCCGAGUAGGUGACACAUCAAGUGAUCCACGCACCACUAUUCGUACACCACUAUCAAGUUCUGAUAAUAUUAAAAGUUUGCCGGAUUUGCCAACACCAGAAAAGGCUACGACUGACCCAUCUUACAGACCCUUCCUCUCCAUCAAAGCGUAGGAAAAUUGUGCACAGACGAGUUGUCUCAAGGCAUCCAAGAGAUGUCACAGGGACCACAGAAAAAAAGGUGGCAAGGUUGAGAUCACAGAGAAUUGAUGGAUUGAAGAUGUUAAUAUCACAGCUGGAUGAUAAAAAAAAAGAACGGAAUUGCUGGUUGUCAUAAUAGAAAGACAACCAGGCUUGAAAUUUGCAACAGUUUGACUAUUGCAGCUAGAGACACACCAGUCACGUCUCCACCACCACCGACAAAAAAUUAUGCUAUAAACUUUUGCCUCAAAAUUGCUUAUCUCUAAGACCGGAAAUUAGAUGAGGGCGUUUAGAUCGCAUUACAAACAAGAGACGACAUUUUGUUAGGGUGCCAGAUGAUGAUGAACAGAAAGGGUUUCGCCUUGCUGUCUACCGUCAGUUUUGGAGGCACAGUCGACAUGGAAGAGAUAAUCAGAUAAGUAAUAUCGAACUGUAUAGUCUGCAAAGUAAAGAGGAGGUAUCCUGACAAAUGGGCAUAACCAUGAAAGAAGGAGCACUGUUCAAAAGACCUACCCAAAUUAUCAAACAAAACAUUUUUUUCUAUUAGUUAAAGAUACAUUAUGGUGGAUUAGAUCAAGAUCUGGCAGUUCUCACUGUAAUAGUUAAAACUAGAUGAUGUAAAUGGAAUAUGCUGGGAAUUUCAGUCAAAUUGCUUCACUAUUAGCCGAGAAAACUUUAUUGUAAAAAUGACUGUAGUAGAGUGGUUCAAUGGUCACUUAUUUGUCCUUAUAUAAACAUGCACAGGUCUCUGCUUGACUGCAUCAUCGGGGAUAUUUUCUGAAGUGAGCAAUGUUUAGUCCCGCGCACGUGAUUUUGGAGGUCGCAGCAAAUAUACGCCACAAAUAGCUUUCCACGUGGUAUUAUACAAACAUGUAUUGGUAUAUGAAGCCAAGUAAAAAUACACUCAUUACGCGUUUCGACUUUCGUGUUUAUUUAAUAACGAACGUGAGCAAAAAUUUCGAUUACAACUCUUUGGUUUAAUUUUUGAUUUUUGGUUUUUUGGCGAUUUCGGUACAGAGCUAGCUGUAAUAGCUUCGUUUCAUUUCUAACUUAUUAAUCCAUGAGCGUGGCAAGAUAAACUCAUUACAGCAUUUUGGGAUUUUCUUUUAUUUGGUCGUUACAACCUUCGUUUACGUGGCGCUCUAUUUACUUUAGGAAAUAAAUAUUUGCUAGCUCUAAAUACGCAGAACUAUUUGAGACCGGAAAAUAACCGAAACAAACUUUUUAGUGGUAGUCUUUAUUCUCCAGACACUUUUCGGUAACUUGGUGUAAAUUACUUUCAUAAUCAUAGUAUCUUAUUUAAUUAUUCUGUAGCCAUAAAUAAACUAAUGACUGCUCCACUGUGGCGCAUAUUAGAAAGCGGUAUUAAUGCUCUUGAUAUGAAACAUAUUUAUAAAAAAUUACAUGAUUUUUUUGAAACAGCAAAUUUACAUGACUUUGCAGAAGGUAAAUCACACCCGUUUGAAUCUCUGAUUAAAAUUGAAAACGAUCCGGUCCUUGAUCACUUAAAAAAAUUAGAUUUUAAUUCCGAUAUUAAUUCAACCCUCAUCCAUUUUUUUAAAAUCCUCUUUGUCGAGUUUAAAAAGUACAUUUCAAAUAUUUUACUUGAGUAUCGAGAUGACUUUAAUCCUUCAUGUUCGGGUUCUGCCAUGCCUCACAACAAAUUGCCGGAAACCGUGUUCAGUCAUCUCGAUAGAUUAAUGAGGAUCGCGCCCUCGUCUAAUACUUUUUGCAAGGAAGCAUCCAUUUUAUAUAAAAUGAAUAAAUCUAACGAAUGGCUUAAAACUCUUUCUCCUGAUAGACGUAAUUUGGUCAUAAUGGAUGCUCGAAUUAUAACGAAAAACCAACUUUCCAAAUUUAGACAAAGGCACGAAGAGAUUGAGAGAAAACGGUUAGAGGUUCUUUUGGCGAAAAGGGAUAAAUUAAAAGAAAGGGGACAACUUGAGAUUAGGAAAAAAGAGCGCCUAACAGCAGAAAUUGCCGGGAUGGGACUUUGGAUAAAUAAAGAAGGAAUGGAUGAUGGGCUUUCAAAGUUUUCGUCACUCGGGGAAACAAAGAGGCAUUGAAAGCACAGCCCCGAUUUCGUAGAUACGUCAUGAAUCAGCCAGUUUCUGAUAAAUCACUUUUUUGUUUUUCUUCGGCGGGUAAGGAACGUUCUGUCCCAAAUUUAAAGGCAAAUUUAGAAAAAAAUAUUUGUAUGGCUCACCCUACUUAAUCGGAAGAAGUUUACAAUGCCUCUUUCUUAGCGGUUAUGAAAUGCAGUUAAUUGAUUUUUUUUUAUUUCUAUGUCCAUUUUAUUCUUCAUUCCAGAUGUCCCAGCAGACAGACAUUCUGACAAAGUGAAUACGUUUUAAUCAUUUAAUACCCUCUAUUUAGAGUUUCGGUUGUUUUCUGGUUCAUUUUAACUGUGCAUAUUUAUUAGUUUGUUGUAAAUCCUUUUGUUCCAGGAAAUAUUGUAAACAAUGUUUGUUAAUUUAAUUUUACAUUUUAUUGUUUGAUAAAGAAGAGGAUAUUAUCAACUGGCGUUUUGAACGAUCAUCUUUUUUAUUUAUUGGUUUGUAGUAAAUCCUUUUGUUCCAGGAACUAUAUAGUCAAGAAUAAUAUUUGUUAAUUAAAUUUUACAAUUUAUUGUUUGACAAAGAAGAGGAUAUUAUCAACUUAUGUAUUACAUUUAAAUAUAGAUCGGUAUCGGGUGACGAUUAGGUAACAGAUUUAGAAAGUUCAAUUUAAAUAGGUUGUGUGUACAGGCGAUUAUACAAUUAAUAGAUUAAUUUAAUUUCAACUUAAAUCAUCUUUGGGAAACUUGUAUUUCUGUGGAAUAUUAGCUGACAUGAUAACGUUGAUUGUUAUAAAAAAUAUCUGAACAGACAGAUAUAUGGUUAUACUGUAUAAGUACAUGUAUAUGAUUUAAUGAUCAAAAACACACUUUUAUGGAUAACAAUUACUAUGGUUUAUUUCACUGCGACGUUUCAACAAGGUUUCACAAGUCGUUAUCAAGCAUAUACACAAAUAGAUAGAAAUGAGAAAGAUAUGAAUAUAUAUACAAACAUCAGUGCGAACUAUCCAAUGGAAUGCAAGGUGAGUGAGCAUGAUUAGCUAUAACAAGCUAUUGAUGUAACAAAGGUGCAUAAUCAUAUAUAUUAGAGUUAGCUUAUUGUACAAUUAAAACAUGAAAGAGGGGAUUAACCGAGAUUAACAAAUAUUGAAACCAUACACAUUGUACCAUAACUGAAACCAGUAUAUACUAAGAAAACAUUCAAGAAGAUUAAACUGAGGGUUUAUAGAACUAUAUCGAAACCAUAAUCUUUACAUUAAUUAUAACAGUUAAGAAAUAUAGAAUUUUAUGGUUGUGUUUUAUAGUUAAGUAAUAAGUUGCAUAUAUGUAUUUACAAGGUAAAUAUAUAUCAAAGUGUUGAGUAAAAUAUAAAUAAAUAACGAUAAAUUAAGCCGAAUGCCAUAUGAUGAAACCUUUUAUAAUUAUAAAUAUGAGUGGUAAGAUAUUGUAAUUUGGUUGCAUAGACAUAAAAUACUGUGAUUAGCUAAAUAAAUUGUAGAAAAUAAUUGAAACAUACAAAUUUUACAUAUUGAUAACAGAGGAUUAUAAAAUGUGAGGGUUGUGGGUAUGGAAUAUACAAUCGAUUCAGUAUUGGGAAAUGCCAGUAGUUACAUAUGGUUUUGCAUGGGGAAUUACUUAGGGGAACUGUGUUUACAAUUUAAUAAUGCGGUCAUAUGCUCUGGGGAUAUAGACGCCUGGGUCUCGAUUCAGUUUCGGUUCAUGUCUUCUAAUGUUGAUCGCCUCAUGUAUCCUUCUGUUUCUUUUGUUGUGGUGGUUCACAGCCAACGUUUUAACUUUGGUCCAAUCGACCCGGUGCCGUGGGUUGUCAUUCAGAUGUUCAGCAACUGCAGAUUGAUUGGUGGGGACAACUUGAGAUUAGGAAAAAAGAGCGCCUAACAGCAGAAAUUGCCGGGAUGGGACUUUGGAUAAAUAAAGAAGGAAUGGAUGAUGGGCUUUCAAAGUUUUCGUCACUCGGGGAAACAAAGAGGCAUUGAAUGCACAGCCCCGAUUUCGUAGAUACGUCAUGAAUCAGCCAGUUUCUGAUAAAUCACUUUUUUGUUUUUCUUCGGCGGGUAAGGAACGUUCUGUCCCAAAUUUAAAGGCAAAUUUAGAAAAAAAUAUUUGUAUGGCUCACCCUACUUAAUCGGAAGAAGUUUACAAUGCCUCUUUCUUAGCGGUUAUGAAAUGCAGUUAAUUGAUUUUUUUUUAUUUCUAUGUCCAUUUUAUUCUUCAUUCCAGAUGUCCCAGCAGACAGACAUUCUGACAAAGUGAAUACGUUUUAAUCAUUUAAUACCCUCUAUUUAGAGUUUCGGUUGUUUUCUGGUUCAUUUUAACUGUGCAUAUUUAUUAGUUUGUUGUAAAUCCUUUUGUUCCAGGAAAUAUUGUAAACAAUGUUUGUUAAUUUAAUUUUACAUUUUAUUGUUUGAUAAAGAAGAGGAUAUUAUCAACUGGCGUUUUGAACGAUCAUCUUUUUUAUUUAUUGGUUUGUAGUAAAUCCUUUUGUUCCAGGAACUAUAUAGUCAAGAAUAAUAUUUGUUAAUUAAAUUUUACAAUUUAUUGUUUGACAAAGAAGAGGAUAUUAUCAACUUAUGUAUUACAUUUAAAUAUAGAUCGGUAUCGGGUGACGAUUAGGUAACAGAUUUAGAAAGUUCAAUUUAAAUAGGUUGUGUGUACAGGCGAUUAUACAAUUAAUAGAUUAAUUUAAUUUCAACUUAAAUCAUCUUUGGGAAACUUGUAUUUCUGUGGAAUAUUAGCUGACAUGAUAACGUUGAUUGUUAUAAAAAAUAUCUGAACAGACAGAUAUAUGGUUAUACUGUAUAAGUACAUGUAUAUGAUUUAAUGAUCAAAAACACACUUUUAUGGAUAACAAUUACUAUGGUUUAUUUCACUGCGACGUUUCAACAAGGUUUCACAAGUCGUUAUCAAGCAUAUACACAAAUAGAUAGAAAUGAGAAAGAUAUGAAUAUAUAUACAAACAUCAGUGCGAACUAUCCAAUGGAAUGCAAGGUGAGUGAGCAUGAUUAGCUAUAACAAGCUAUUGAUGUAACAAAGGUGCAUAAUCAUAUAUAUUAGAGUUAGCUUAUUGUACAAUUAAAACAUGAAAGAGGGGAUUAACCGAGAUUAACAAAUAUUGAAACCAUACACAUUGUACCAUAACUGAAACCAGUAUAUACUAAGAAAACAUUCAAGAAGAUCAA